rnacentral:rRNA from 1 species
GACGUAGGGCGCGAGCGUUGUCCGGAUUUAUUGGGCGUAAAGAGCUCGUAGGCGGCUUGUCGCGUCGUCCGUGAAAACCUGCAGCUCAACUGCAGGCUUGCGGUCGAUACGGGCAGGCUGGAGUUCGGUAGGGGAGACUGGAAUUCCUGGUGUGGCGGUGAAAUGCGCAGAUAUCAGGAGGAACACCGGUGGCGAAGGCGGGUCUCUGGGCCGAUACUGACGCUGAGGAGCGAAAGCGUGGGGAGCGAACAGG